rnacentral:rRNA from 1 species
AGUCGUAACAAGGUCUCCGUAGGUGAACCUGCGAAGGGAUCAUUA